AUGCAGUUCUGGUCGCUUGCCGGGGCGGAGGAGGCCCUCGGGGACAUCGACCGCCUCGACUCGCGCACGCUCGAGAGGGGGCACACAAAAUUUUUCGCCUGCUGGCUCUGGGUAUGGGAUGUAGCCCAUAUCCCGACGAGGCGCGCGCUCUGGGUGCUCAAGCGGGGCGCAGGCCGCACCGAUGAGGUGCUCGGCUUCGCUUCGCUCGACCGCCGCGUCCCUCCGCCUCCUGGUGCGACCGCUAACGACCUCCUCUUGCAGGUCGACUUGGUGGAGGAUUGGACCCCGCUCUCGCCAUGCUCGUCGCACUCGGGGCAUAGCGAGCUCUCUUCCUCCUACGACGAGGACGACCUCCAGCUGCCGCACAUCUAG
rnacentral:rRNA from 1 species